rnacentral:rRNA from 1 species
GUGGGGAAUAUUGGACAAUGGGGGGAACCCUGAUCCAGCCAUGCCGCGUGUGUGAAGAAGGCCUUUUGGUUGUAAAGCACUUUAAGCGAGGAGGAGGCUACCGAGAUUAAUACUCUUGGAUAGUGGACGUUACUCGCAGAAUAAGCACCGGCUAACUCUGUGCCAGCAGCCGCGGUAAUACAGAGGGUGCAAGCGUUAAUCGGAUUUACUGGGCGUAAAGUGCGCGUAGGUGGCCAAUUAAGUCAAAUGUGAAAUCCCCGAGCUUAACUUGGGAAUUGCAUUCGAUACUGGUUGGCUAGAGUAGUGGAGAGGAUGGUAGAAUUCCAGGUGUAGCGGUGAAAUGCGUAGAGAUCUGGAGGAAUACCGAUGGCGAAGGCAGCCAUCUGGCCUAAUACUGACACUGAGGUGCGAAAGCAUGGGGAGCAAACAGGAUUAGAAACCCUAGUAGUCC